AUUGAACGCUGGCGGCAGGCCUAACACAUGCAAGUCGAACGGUAACAGGAAGCAGCUUGCUGCUUCGCUGACGAGUGGCGGGCGGGUGAGUAAUGUCUGGGAAGCUGCCUGAUGGAGGGGGAUAACUACUGGAAACGGUAGCUAAUACCGCAUAAUGUCGCAAGACCAAAGAGGGGGACCUUCGGGCCUCUUGCCAUCGGAUGUGCCCAGAUGGGAUUAGCUUGUUGGUGGGGUAACGGCUCACCAAGGCGACGAUCCCUAGCUGGUCUGAGAGGAUGACCAGCCACACUGGAACUGAGACACGGUCCAGACUCCUACGGGAGGCAGCAGUGGGGAAUAUUGCACAAUGGGCGAAAGCCUGAUGCAGCCAUGCCGCGUGUAUGAAGAAGGCCUUCGGGUUGUAAAGUACCUUCAGCGGGGAGGAAGGGAGUAAAGUUAAUACCUUUGCUCAUUGACGUUACCCGCAGAAGAAGCACCGGCUAACUCCGUG
rnacentral:rRNA from 1 species